CCCCGCUGAAGUCUCCCCCUUUUGCACCAGUCAAGUGAUGUUAUCCCUUGCAUGACACACUCCCAAGUUAAUCACAGGGUGCAGGUAUGCACCUGGGGGAAAAGAAAACAGCGAUUAUAUCUUUGAAAGCAAACAGGAGAGGUUUAUUUUUAAACACAGAUGAAGGAGGGUUGCUCGCCUGGCCCAGUCACGCUGACUGCUAGGAGUCCAGACCGCUGGAAAUAGGAACAAAUGUCAAGCCAAAAACUGCACAGGCUUCCUCCAAAUUCCAGAUCAGAACUGGAAACCUCUUUCAUCCCGAGGGCCACAUUUCCCUCUGGGGAGUUUUUCAGGGGCCGCAUGUCCGAGGUGGGCAGGGCCAGAGGGAAAAGUGGGGGGAGCAACAACUGUGAACGUAAUCUGUGUAGAGUAGGCAGGUUUCUACAGCCACUCACAUAUCCCCUUUUCCAACCACGGUUGGAGUUCAGGGAUGGAUUCUGACCAGGCCAAAAGCACUCCAGGAGGGUGUCCAGGGGCCAAAGAGAAGAGCCUGCAGAGGCACACUCGGUCUGAGGUUUCCCACUUCAGUUCUUGAAGCAACAGUUGGUCUUUGAUGACUCUCUGUUGCACCACCAGCAAAACAGGCCAACGAAAAGAGAUCCUGAUUUAUUUAUUUCCAAGUGAAGAGCCUGAUGGGGUGUAUUUGUUUCGGCAGGGGGAGAAGGCAGACUUGAAGAAGUCUGAAGAUGCUUCCAAACCUCGGCUUCUCCUCAAAUUGCAAAUAAACAGGAAAUUCUAAGGAGUUGGUUCCCAUGGUUUGCUGGGCUUAACCCCCCCACUUGCUGAUCAUUUCUUCCCACACUUCCCGGAGGCGAAUGACCUAAACCUCUGAAAAUGCAAGGCAAAACUCUGGCCUCUCCUUCCCUUAUUUGGGAGCGAUUCGCAUUUAUCCGGCUUCAUCCGAAAGUCUCUUUCAGCCUCUGGCGACCGAAAGGAGAACUGCAACGGCCGUCCCAUCUGACGUUCUAUUGGAUCUUAUUUUUAAACCGGUAUUUUGGUGGGGAAAGGGGCCUUCGGACGGUUGGCCCGAUUGUUACUGGCAUGUCACAAGGGACUACAUUUGUGGUCGUUUAGGAUAUUUUAAAAAAAAGAUUCGGUAGGUUUAGAAUAUAAUCCAUACUUUAGAGUGGCUGGGGGGGGUGUCCUUAGCUUUUGCCUGAUCCAGCUAUGGGUCUCUUCUGCUGUACAUAUGGAACCUCCAGGUCCAGAGGCAGUCUACCUAAAUCUCUAGGUUCUUAAAGGAAUUUGGCCUUGGUGAGAACACGGCAAGUCCCCUUUGGCCUGAUCCACCAAGGUUUCUUAGAUCCUUCUUAUGUCCUUCCGAUAGGGCUGGGAGAGACCGCCAGCCAAAACCCUGGAAGGCCACUGCUGCCAGUCAGUGUAGACCAGCUAGAUGGACCAAUGCCCCCAACUCAGUAGGAGGGAGCUGAUAACUAAUCCAUUGCAACUGCAAUCCGCAACUGCUUCCUAUGUUCCUAUCUUAAGUCAACAGCUUUCUUCAGAACAUGAGGACUAGCGUUUUUAAUUUUUAACUGCCCUGUGAUCUUUGAAGAAAGGGUGGUGCAGAAAUUUAAAAAGGAAAUAAAAAGGUAAAGGUAAAGGGACCCCUGACCAUUAGGUCCAGUCGUGACCGACUCUGGGGUUGCGUGCUCAUCUCGCUUUAUUGGCCGAGGGAGCCGGCGUACAGCUUCCAGGUCAUGUGGCCAGCAUGACUAAGCCGCUUCUGGCAAACCAGAGCAGUGCAC
rnacentral:lncRNA from 1 species